rnacentral:lncRNA from 1 species
CUCACUGGGAAGGGAUUGAGGGAGGGGUGGAGUGGCCAAGGAGAGGCUGUCUGCUUUCAGAUGGAGGAUUAAGCUGGUCCCUAUCCUGAUAGCAUCCAGCACCGACACGCUUCCCAAACAUCAUACCGCACCUGUCCGUCCCGUCUGAAUCAGCCGGAUCCACCUGCUCCCUUCAUCCCGUGCUGGCUCUCCAUCGCUGGAUCGCACCGGUGUCCUUUCAAACCACGAGAUCAGUUCUCAUUGGUCCUGAUGGUUGUGAGGGCCCGCCUCCGCCACCUCUCAACCAGUCCGCACAAGAGAGAUGUGACAGCCAAUCACACGCUGAGAUUUCUGCAUUCUGGAGCUGUUCGGACACAAGCCACACCCAGAAGAUGCAGAAAUGCAGGUGGAGAGAGAAGAGGCCUCAUGAUUUUAUGGAUGAACAGGAGUUGAAACUGUCACAGCAGACAUCUUCAUGACUCCACAAGGGUGGCUCUUACCUGAGUCAGCAUACACACACACACACACACACACACAGGUGUGCCGUAUACAGUGCAUAAAUUCUCAAAACAAAACCUUACUGUUUUAUUAUCUGCA